GAUUAACGCUGGCGGCGUGCCUAACACAUGCAAGUCGAGCGGCAGCGAGUUUUACACUGAAUUCUGGAAGCUUCUAGUUGAAAGAGAAGAUUUAUUCAAGAAUUUUGUGUAAAAUGUCGGCGAGCGGCGGACGGCUGAGUAACGCGUGGGAACGUACCCCAAAGUGAGGGAUAACGCAUCGAAAGGUGUGCUAAUACCGCAUAUGGUCUUCGGAUUAAAGCCUUCGGGCGCUUUGGGAACGGCCUGCGUAAGAUUAGAUAGUUGGUGGGGUAAUGGCCUACCAAGUCGACGAUCUUUAACUGGUUUGAGAGGAUGAUCAGUCAGACUGGAACUGAGACACGGUCCAGACUCCUACGGGAGGCAGCAGUGAGGAAUCUUCCACAAUGGGCGAAAGCCUGAUGGAGCAACGCCGCGUGCAGGAUGAGGGCCUUCGGGUUGUAAACUGCUUUUAUAAGUGAGGAUUAUGACAGUAACUUAUGAAUAAGGAUCGGCUAACUACGUG
rnacentral:rRNA from 1 species